GCUGGAGUAUACACAGACACUGGAGCUGGAGAAAUACAGAAGAAUGCCAAAGCAUGUGUGAUCGAGAUUGUGAAGCAGUCCACAAAGAUUACCAACAAGCCCAGCAUUCAGGAAGCAACUCGAUGCCCUUCUGAGACAAUGAAGACAUGUGUGGAGGACCUCGGGGCUGCUCAGGGAGCUCCAUAAUGAAGUCUGGCAUGCUGGCCCCAGCUCAAAGGGAGCCGUUGACUGACCUGCAGUGUGUGUGCUCUUUCCCCGGCUGCUGCCUCAGUGGGGCCAUCAGAGCAUCCAUGAGACUUGUUAGAGCUGUGGCACGACAGCUUUUGCGGCUGUCAGCGGGAGAUGGCUCUGAAUUCCUCAAGAUGUUUUAAAAAUGAAACAAAAAGGCACAAUUACACAGCCAAACAGAAAGCAAGACAGCUGCAUACAAAGCAGGACUUUCUCCAUAAUAGGAUGACAACCUCAGCUAGACAAUGCUGAAGUCUCACCUUCCUCCCCAGGCUGCAGCUGGGAGGCUUCGGUAAUUGGAUGCCCCACUGCUCUAGCUCCUGGAUUAUUCAAACUGAAGAAUCUCCAGAUGCCUCAGGUUUCAAUUAAGGAUAAGACCAGGCAACGUGGUCAGCAAGAUACCAUUUUUCACCCUUAGAUUCAGCAAUACACAUGGCCAAACCAGUAAUGGAUGUGAUAAUAAUAAAAUCAAAACUAUUUACUUUG